UACAGAGGGGGCAAGCGUUGUUCGGAAUUACUGGGCGUAAAGGGCGCGUAGGCGGCCUGCUAAGUCGAACGUGAAAUCCCCGGGCUUAACCCGGGAACUGCGUCCGAUACUGGUUGGCUUGAAUUCGGGAGAGGGAUGCGGAAUUCCAGGUGUAGCGGUGAAAUGCGUAGAUAUCUGGAGGAACACCGGUGGCGAAGGCGGCAUCCUGGACCAACACUGACACUGAGGAGCGAAAGCCAGGGGAGCAAACGGG
rnacentral:rRNA from 1 species